GUCGUAUUGCUCUCAAAUCCC
rnacentral:miRNA from 1 species